GACCUCAGGGGGAGGCCAAGCCAAAGGAUGAGGAAGUUGGCUGGCGACAGCCACAUAAAAAAACCACUUCUAACAGCAUACAGUUGUAACAUCGGUUUUGAACCCGAGCCCUUUUCAUCACUCCUACAAGCUCGCACAGCACAACACCGCACCGCACGCUGGCACUAACGGGUGUGGUGAAACACACAGCCAAUCCCGCUGGGGGGCCUUGGCAAGAUUGACAGUCGGUACAGAAUCCCUCUUGUUCCUUCAUCUUUUGACUGGACCUUCAGGACGUUCUGGGCUCAACGCUCCUGGCUGUCGAGCUACAUUUAUAUAAUAAGCUACUUCUGAUAAUUUACCCUUUUAUGCAGUUGGGUCUUUUCGCUGUAUUGCCUGAGGAAAAGUACUGCGAUCAGGGGUAUUAUAGCAGGAAGAGGGAUUUGAACCCAGGACCUUCCAGUUGCAAGGUGACACCUCAAAACACUACGCUCCCAGGUUCCCCUCAAGAGUCCAUUGCCAUGCAGAGGAGUGAUACCAGGAGGAGUCAUGAGCAUGAGCUUCCUCAGCAAGGCAAGCAAGGGCGGCGGCAACAUCCGAGUGGCUCGAGGGUGGAGGGAGCGUGAGGAAGCCAUUACCGCGGUACGGUCCCACAGCGCGGUACAGAGUUCACAACACCAUCUUCCAGCAUCAAAAUGACCUCGUUUCGCCUGCCGGAGCACCUCUCGGUGGCUAGCGGGACCAGGAGUAGAGAGUUCUUCGCACAUAACGCUGACGGGGAGAGAAAUCCUUCCCACAGCCUCAAGUACGAGACAAAGUCGUCAUAGAAAUUUAUGACGUAUUUCUUCAAAAACCACUUUGUGGAGAGAGAGAUUUGAACCCCAGCUGCUUGCACUUAUUUAGCUGAUGCUCUUUUCCAAAGGGACUGACAUUCUUAAGCUCUGUACCAUGUUUUACCCAUUUACACAACUGAGUACGUUUUACUGUGUCAGUGCAGGGUAAAUACCACGGUUAAGGGUCCUCUAAUUGCCGUGCUACCUGCUGCGCUGCUGACAUGUGUGACAAGGUGUACUACGGUACGCAGAACGACUCACCCAUUCCGGUUUGGAGGAGAAGUCGUAUGAGUUGGGUAACUGGCUAUGACUCAAGUGAAAUUUGAUAAAAUGCAAAAAACAUUGAUGGAGCUUGCAGUUCAUGAGGCCUCGAGCCAAAGAAAGUCUGGACCCUGUUUUGGUUGUUGCACAGCUUGUGUUGAGCUCAACAAAUGUGAAGCACAUUGAAAGCUGCACGUCUCAAACAUCCAGCGCCGUUAGAUGUCGAAAGCGCUGCAAUGUGUUCAUUCUGCCAGCUUUCGGAGGCGCUUCCAGCUCGGAGCUCUGCUUUCAGGUUUUCCGGCUUUCAUCGCGUGGGCCAUGAAGCCCCCACAGUGGACGAGGGGGAGGGGGUGGGUGGGGGUUAUCUGAGGAAGAACGUUUCCCCUGCAGAAAAGCAGCGAGGCGGUCGGACGAACCAACGACCGCACUUCCAUGGGCGCGUUCCAGCAAUUGGCCUCGGCUCCUUCCCUGGGAAAGUGUGACGCGAACGCUGGCCAGACACACUCCUGUACACAACGGGGACGAGUCGAGCCAGUGAGGACAGAUAAUUUCUCGCCCCGAAGUCUGAGGAAGAAGCACCGGCUACAUGUUUCAUUAGCCGCAUAAAGAGACGUGAAAUGAAGUGUCUUUCUCCUCGGAACACGAGUGCUCCUCGCUAGUGCACCGGUACCUUCAGCGGAACACCCUGAACUGCCGAACGGUGCGAAUGGAUGCGGGUUCGAGCCUCGCUCGGUCUUCGUGGAGUUGCAGUGGGUUUCUUUUGGGUGCUCUGGUUUCCUCCCACAUUGCAAAGACCUGCAUUUUAGGUGAAGCGGUGGCUCUAAGCCGCCUUUACGGAGUGUGAGUCUGUGUGUGUGUGUGUGUGUGUGUUACAUUUCUCUGCAGUACAGGUGGGUGAAUGGUUGCAUGGAGUUCAGUGUCAUGUAUCUAAUUCUGAAAGUCACCUGGGAUAAAGGUGUCAGAAACACCACACAGCAGUUUUUGUUCAUCGCUUUGGGGAGGAGUGUCUGGAGGGUGAAUAAAUGUAAUGUGAAGGUAACA
ensembl:lncRNA